GCUUCAUAAGUAUGAGCAAAGAGCAUGUGAAAGCUAGUAAUCAGCUCGAUGCAUGGAAUACAACCCUCGAGGAGGCAGGCGAAGUCAAGUAACCUUUGCCUUCUUAACUCUUAAGAGAAUGGGCGAAACCGAGUACUUCAAUUCUCUUAUCUAUCCAGUAGAGAAGCUCUACACAAGUUCAAAGACCCUUCGAAGAAAUCUAAUGGAAGACAAUAGUUGUCAAAUUCUCACCAAUGGUGAUCAGUGCCACUAAGAAUAGACUAUCCGUUUCAUUUCUUAACAGAAUGCCAAUUGAAAGCGGAAGUGGUGCGAACCUACUUGGAAGUGACGACGAAGUGGAAGAAGAAUCGAUAGACAAAUUUUAUAAAGGAAGGACCCAAAAAUUUUAAAGUUUGUGAGGCGAUGCUCGCUAAAGCUCCAACAAGCAUCCACUUAGUUCAAGCAGCACGAAGCAUUUGAGAGACGAGCGCAUACUAAGAAUGGUCUUUUCCUUCAUCUGAGGGAUCCACGGGAAACAACAGGAAUCAGCACAACUUAGUCGACCUCACACCAAAGUCAGAGUUAUUAGCGAGUUGAAACAGCAUGGCGGAUCAAAGCCGACUACUCAACAACAACGACGGAGUGCAGUUGGGAGCCAUGAGGCGCAUUGCAACUGGAGCACAAGAUUGAAGACUUAACAAAGGCGAGGAGAUGCAGCGUCUGCAAAGGUUUCGACGAGGAUGUUGAAAGAAUAAGUGGGGGAGAAUGUUACGGACAAAACUAUAAACAAGGUGUUUGAUGUAAUGCUCAUGUAUAUCUGUGUCUUUCGGUUUUGUACAUGCUUUGCAUAGCAUGUAAAUGGAUGAUAGUAGGCUUAGCAGCCUCAUUUUCUUUGGUUUUGGUGGCCAUCUUAGGCUUGCAAACAAAGAUUGUGUCAUGUGGGCACUUGCGGGGAUUUCAGUCUGUAGUUGACCAUUUUGGACCCUUUGCUGUGCGACCGUUUAAAGUUUGUGAAGUCUAUUUAUAAUUUGCAUUGGCUAUGAAGUGCUUGUUGGAAUGAUUACAUGUGGAUCCCGAGUGAGAUGCUUUCUCUACCCCGUUUUCUCUUUUUUAGGUCCGAAGGGACAAUACGAGGUUUCAGGGAGGUUGACCUUCGCGAAUGGACACACGAGGGUGCUGCACAACUUUGGCAAAGCCAGCUAAAUACCUGACAGAACGGGUAUUAGGUCUGUCCAAAUUAAUUCCGGAUGAGUUUUUGGUUGUUGGGUGAGUGUCAAAGAGCUAUGUUUCAGAUCAAGUUAUGCAGUAUGUAUAUAUCACCAAAGAUCACAAAAAGUUACAUGGAGUAGUAUUUGCUCUAAUGAUUUUAGUAGCUGAAAAAAAUUUAAACACCAAAGUGUUGUUUCUAUAAUUUGUUUUAAGUGAGUUUUUACGGAUUUAUGGAUUUGGAUGUCUUCAAGGAGGUGUUAUCUUGUCCGUUGAGCUUCUUUGCAAACUUAUUCGUGUGCUAAUUGGAAGAUUUCAUUUCUGUUUCUUUUAUGUAUUGUGAUAUUUGCAUGCAGGGGCCUCAAUGGAAUUUGCAAGACCAGUUGCUGUGUUGAUCAGGAUUACCAUUGGUACUCACCCAUUUGUUUUGCAUGUAAGAAGGUGUCACUUUGCUUGCAGGUUGAAUGGACUUCAGAGAAUCAAAACUUGAGUAUGAUAUCCUGAAAUGUCUUCAGCCUCAUUGGAAUUGUUGCUCAGGCAUUUCCUGCAUCAACAAACUCUAACAUGCAAACUAAUUUAUAUGCCUAAACAUUUUAAAAUUGACAAAAAAUGUGUAUUUCAAAUUUCUGUAAUUGUCUUUACGUUUUGUUGUAGAGUUAAUGAUCAUUACAUCACAAGGUUUUAUGUCCUGCAUUUAGUGCAGAAAUGACUACUUAUGAUUGUGCACACUAUCCUGACCCAUUCACAGCUACCUUGUUUCCGCCUCUCCAUGCAAUUGUGCAUAUUUUUAAUAUCACAGUUCAGAUAAGAUCAUAAGAAUUUCGAUCAUCGUUCUCAAUAUGUAAAACGUUUUCUGAAUCUUUAUAUUAGCUGUUCCAUCUUUUGCAGCGAAUUUUGUGUAGCUGUGCAUGAGUUCUUGAUCUUACAACUUUCAAGUGCAUCAAGAAUAUUGGAAGGUAUGCAAAAACUGCUUUUCUAAUUACAUUCUUGAUCCUGCCAAGCUUGUUAGUAGUGCGACAGAGUUUGCUAUGAAUCUUUUCUCUUACAAGCAGAUCAUUGGAAGUGAUUCUUGGAUUCUUGUUCAUAGUAUUAGCUGUUCCAUCUUUUGCAGCGAAUUUUGUGUAGCUGUGCAUGAGUUCUUGAUCUUACAACUUUCAAGUGCAUCAAGAAUAUUGGAAGGUAUGCAAAAACUGCUUUUCUAAUUACAUUCUUGAUCCUGCCAAGCUUGUUAGUAGUGCGACAGAGUUUGCUAUGAAUCUUUUCUCUUACAAGCAGAUCAUUGGAAGUGAUUCUUGGAUUCUUGUUCAUAGUAUUU
rnacentral:lncRNA from 1 species